rnacentral:rRNA from 1 species
UACGUAGGGUGCGAGCGUUAAUCGGAAUUACUGGGCGUAAAGCGUGCGCAGGCGGUGAUGUAAGACCGAUGUGAAAUCCCCGGGCUUAACCUGGGAACUGCAUUGGUGACUGCAUUGCUCGAGUAUGGCAGAGGGGGGUGGAAUUCCACGUGUAGCAGUGAAAUGCGUAGAGAUGUGGAGGAACACCGAUGGCGAAGGCAGCCCCCUGGGCCAAUACUGACGCUCAUGCACGAAAGCGUGGGUAGCAAACAGGG